rnacentral:rRNA from 1 species
GAUGAACGCUGGCGGCGUGCCUAAUACAUGCAAGUCGAGCGAACGGACGAGAAGCUUGCUUCUCUGAUGUUAGCGGCGGACGGGUGAGUAACACGUGGAUAACCUACCUAUAAGACUGGGAUAACUUCGGGAAACCGUAGCUAAUACCGGAUAAUAUUUUGAACCGCAUGGUUCAAAAGUGAAAGACGGUCUUGCUGUCACUUAUAGAUGGAUCCGCGCUGCAUUAGCUAGUUGGUAAGGUAACGGCUUACCAAGGCAACGAUGCAUAGCCGACCUGAAAGGGUGAUCGGCCACACUGGAACUGAGACACGGUCCAGACUCCUACGGGAGGCAGCAGUAGGGAAUCUUCCGCAAUGGGCGAAAGCCUGACGGAGCAACGCCGCGUGAGUGAUGAAGGUCUUCGGAUCGUAAAACUCUGUUAUUAGGGAAGAACAUAUGUGUAAGUAACUGUGCACAUCUUGACGGUACCUAAUCAGAAAGCCACGGCUAACUACGUG